UGUAUAAUGGGUCAGCGACUUAUAUUCUGUAGCAAGGUUAACCGAAUAGGGGAGCCGAAGGGAAACCGAGUCUUAACUGGGCGUUAAGUUGCAGGGUAUAGACCCGAAACCCGGUGAUCUAGCCAUGGGCAGGUUGAAGGUUGGGUAACACUAACUGGAGGACCGAACCGACUAAUGUUGAAAAAUUAGCGGAUGACUUGUGGCUGGGGGUGAAAGGCCAAUCAAACCGGGAGAUAGCUGGUUCUCCCCGAAAGCUAUUUAGGUAGCGCCUCGUGAAUUCAUCUCCGGGGGUAGAGCACUGUUUCGGCAAGGGGGUCAUCCCGACUUACCAACCCGAUGCAAACUGCGAAUACCGGAGAAUGUUAUCACGGGAGACACACGGCGGGUGCUAACGUCCGUCGUGAAGAGGGAAACAACCCAGACCGCCAGCUAAGGUCCCAAAGUCAUGGUUAAGUGGGAAACGAUGUGGGAAGGCCCAGACAGCCAGGAUGUUGGCUUAGAAGCAGCCAUCAUUUAAAGAAAGCGUAAUAGCUCACUGGUCGAGUCGGCCUGCGCGGAAGAUGUAACGGGGCUAAACCAUGCACCGAAGCUGCGGCAGCGACGCUGAUGCGUUGUUGGGUAGGGGAGCGUUCUGUAAGCCUGCGAAGGUGUGCUGUGAGGCAUGCUGGAGGUAUCAGAAGUGCGAAUGCUGACAUAAGUAACGAUAAAGCGGGUGAAAAGCCCGCUCGCCGGAAGACCAAGGGUUCCUGUCCAACGUUAAUCGGGGCAGGGUGAGUCGACCCCUAAGGCGAGGCCGAAAGGCGUAGUCGAUGGGAAACAGGUUAAUAUUCCUGUACUUGGUGUUACUGCGAAGGGGGGACGGAGAAGGCUAUGUUGGCCGGGCGACGGUUGUCCCGGUUUAAGCGUGUAGGCUGGUUUUCCAGGCAAAUCCGGAAAAUCAAGGCUGAGGCGUGAUGACGAGGCACUACGGUGCUGAAGCAACAAAUGCCCUGCUUCCAGGAAAAGCCUCUAAGCAUCAGGUAACAUCAAAUCGUACCCCAAACCGACACAGGUGGUCAGGUAGAGAAUACCAAGGCGCUUGAGAGAACUCGGGUGAAGGAACUAGGCAAAAUGGUGCCGUAACUUCGGGAGAAGGCACGC
rnacentral:rRNA from 1 species